rnacentral:rRNA from 1 species
UGAAUUUUUGUUAAUAAUUUUAUUGGGUCUUCCCUUCUCCUACAAGUUUAAUUCUAGCCUUAUGUAUAUAUUCUAUCUGUUGUGUAUAAAAUAAUAAGUAAAUCUAUAGAAAUCUAGGACAAAAAAUUUUUAAACCAGCUAAUCUGGCUAAGCAGAUAAAUGACUUAUUAGGUGCCAGCAUUCGCGGUUACACCUAUAUUUAAAAUACCCGACAGGGUUCAGAACUUGUUAUCAGUGCUAUAGCGUAUAUUGAAGUAAAAUUCUACCCGCUCUAUAAAUAUAAUUUUAAUCUUGUAAAGUAAAUAAUAAACAGGGAUUAGACACCCCUCUAUAUAACAUACCUUUAAACCCCAGGUAGUACAUGAUAUACCCAUUAAACCUAAAGAAUUUGGCGGCAAUCAAUCUUUCCAGAGAGACCUGCCCGUUAAUUUGACAAUCCACUCUAUACCUUACUCUAACUAAAACUUGCAUACCGUCAUUUAAAUCUUACUUCUAAGUAAAUAUUUUCAAGGUUACAUUUAUGUUAGAUCAACGCGCAGUACAUAUUAGAGCCCCCCUGUGGGUCUCAAUUUAAAAUAAAUAGAAAGAAUUUUAAAGAAUUCUUAAAAGAGGAUUUGGAUGUAAUAAAAUUUUAGAAUAAUUUUAUGAAUAAGCCAUUGAUUGUGCACAUAUCGCCCGUCGCCCUCGACACGAGGUAAGUCGUAACAUAGUAGAAAUACUAGAAAGUGUUUCCCUCCCCGC